GAUGAAGAACGCAGCGAAAUGCGAUAAGUAAUGUGAAUUGCAGAAUUCAGUGAAUCAUCGAAUCUUUGAACGCACAUUGCGCCCGCCAGUAUUCUGGCGGGCAUGCCUGUUCGAGCGUCAUUUCAACCAUCAAGCCCCAGGCUUGUGUUGGGGACCUGCGGCUGCCGCAGGCCCUGAAAACCAGUGGCGGGCUCGCUGUCACACCGGGCGUAGUAGAUUUUAUCUCGCUCAGGGCGUGCUGCGGGUUCCGGCCUUAAAAAGCCUUUUUUACCCAAGGUUGACCUCGGAUCAGGUAGGAAGACCCGCUGAACUUAAGCAUAUCAAUAAGCGGAGGA
rnacentral:misc_RNA from 1 species